rnacentral:rRNA from 1 species
GUCCACGCCGUAAACGAUGGGUGCUAGGUGUGGGUGGUGUCGACUCCAUCCGUGCCGAAGCUAACGCAUUAAGCACCCCGCCUGGGGAGUACGGCCGCAAGGCUAAAACUCAAAGGAAUUUACGGGGGCCCGCACAAGCAGCGGAGCAUGUGGUUUAAUUCGACGCGACGCGAAGAACCUUACCAGGGCUUGACAUGCACUGGAAUGUCGUAGAAAUACGGCAGCCUUUCGGGGCUCGUGCACAGGUGGUGCAUGGCUGUCGU